rnacentral:rRNA from 1 species
CAAGUCGAACGCGAAAGUUCCCUACGGGGGGCAAGUAGAGUGGCGCACGGGUGAGUAACACGCUAGGUAAUCUACCUUUGGAUUGGGAAUAACCACCNNNAAACGGUGGCUAAUACCGAAUAAUGCAGCGGCACCUAAUGGUGACAGUUGUUAAAGCGGGGGAUCGUAAGACCUCGCGUCUGAAGAGGAGCCUGCGGCAGAUUAGCUAGUUGGUAAGGUAACGGCUUACCAAGGCGAUGAUCUGUAGCCGGCCUGAGAGGGCGGUCGGCCACACUGACACUGACAUACGGGUCAGACUCCUACGGGAGGCAGCAGUCGGGAAUUUUGGGCAAUGGGCGAAAGCCUGACCCAGCAACGCCGCGUGAAGGAUGAAAUCCUUCGGGAUGUAAACUUCGCAAGAACGGGAAGAAUAAGUAAGAGUUAAUAUCUCUUACGAUGACGGUACUGUUUGUAAGCUCCGGCUAACUCCGUGCCAGCAGCCGCGGUAAUACGGGGGGAGCAAGCGUUGUUCGGAUUUACUGGGCGUAAAGGGCGCGUANGCGGCCACCGCAAGUCGACUGUGAAAUCUCCGGGCUUAACCCGGAAAGGUCAGCCGAUACUGCGGGGCUAGAGUGCAGAA